AUGCAUGGACGCAGUUCUGGCCCUGUUGCGGCUCCAGGGCAUUCGUGUAUUAAAUUACCUGAACGAUUGGCUGGUGUUAGCACAAUCGCAGACUCAAGCACACUCUCAUCGGGAUCUUGUGCUGAAUCAUCUAAACAGCCUGGGCUUACGUACGAAUUUCCAAAAGAGUGUUUUAAUUCCCUCUCAGCGCAUAACCUUUCUGGGAAUAGACUUGGACUCUCGCGCGAUGACGGCAAGAUUGUCUCUCCCGUGCGUUCAGUUUCUCACGUCAUGCCUGUGCCACUUCAGAGUAGGUCGCUCAGUGAAGGUGAGUUUGUGCCUCAAACUUUUGGGGGUAAUGGCAUCAGCAUCCCCUGUAAACUGUCUGGGCUUGCUUCACAUGCGCCCAUUUCAGUGGUGGACGAAAAGCCAAAAGAUUUCACCCCGUUGUUUCCCGCAUCGGAUGAUUUCGGUGACACGGAGGUGUGUUAUGUCAAUAAAACUUUGCAUGUCAGCCAGAUUCCUUCGAACUGGAGUUCGGUUGGGGAUGUGUGUUUGCCGCGAGACUGUCAUGACGGACGCGUCUUUGACAGGUCGGGGAGCUGUUUGUCAAGGACGCCCAGCUCAUGGAUUAAGGACGGUGACACUACGUGGCUGGCAUAUAAACAGGUUGGAAUUGCUGGCAGUUUUUCUAGCUCUCCAGUAUUUCUUGAGUCUGCUGAUCAGCCGUCAUGUGUUAAUCAGAUCAGACAACAUAUUGGUUGUGUCGUAUCUGAAUCAUCAAGGAGGAUUACGCUCUCGCCCCCUGUGCAGGCUGGCAAGGAAUAUUCUUCUUUGGUCUCAGAACAGAUUUCUGUCGAUCCGAGUGGUUCAUGUUCCCGGGCACUUGAACUUCGGAGCGGAUUUGCUCUCGAGACAGAGACUGGAGGAGGGGGAAUGGAGGUUGCACCCCCAGAUGGUGAGCCUUAUAUGGUGAGUGUUUGGAGAAGCGGAAGUGGACUUAUUCGCGUCGAGCAUGACUACGCAUUGCCCACUAUGGUUCUCCCUAUGCCCUCCAUCGCCCCUAGGCUUGGAUGCGUUAGCACACGAUUGGCCCUGGACCAGCUUAUAUGCUUUUCCUCCAAUUCGACUAAUUCCAGCGGUGUUAUCCAGGAUACGGCUGGACAGAGUGGAAUAGCUGCUGUUGGUGGCUCUGUGGUGGCCCACGCAGCUGUGGUUUGUGGAUCUGGUCAAUCUGCUAGCGGGCUCUCCAUGGGAGAUUACCCUCAGACAGGACUUACUAUCGCAAGCAAGAGUAAUGAUUUGGCAUCCAAGGCCAGACCUAUGGAAGCUGUGGGCGUGGCCUCUGAGCAGAGUGAGUUAAUAUUUCCCGGUCUCUCAGUUGAAACUACUGAGACUAUAAUGAACUCUAGGGCAGCUUCUACGAGACGCUUAUAUGCUUUUAAAUGGAAACUGCUUACUGCCUGGUGUGGAAUUCGUAAUAUGGAUCCAGUUUAUUACCCCGUGGUUUCAGUACUGGAGUUUCUUCAAGACUGUUUUUCAGAUGGAGUAACACCAGCCACUCUUGUGUAUGUGGCAGCUAUUUCAGCUAACCACGUAUAUAUAGAUGGUACUUCAGUGGGCCGUUAUCCGCUGGUCUCUCGCUUUAUGCAGUAA
ensembl:lncRNA